UCCUCUGGCUGCAGCCAAAACACCAUGAGUAAUCCCAAGAGAUGCCAACAGAAGAACUGUGUGGCUGAGCCCAGAUCCCAGAACAAAAUCAUGAACAAUACCUUUUGUUUGAAGGUUCUUUGAUUUGGAAUGAUUUGUUACACAGCACUAGACAAUUGAUAUAGCCUCACCCCAACUCCAACCUCAAAUAACUGGUCAUUCUGAAUUCUGAAAGACCACAGCACUCUGUGUCUACUUCUAUAAUAAGAUUCAUAUUUGACCAUAAUUAUUUAUUUCAGCAUAUCUCUCCACUACCAGACUUUGAGUUCCCUGGAACUAAAAACAUUGCUUGGACCUCACAUGUACCUGCAUACCUAAGAGGAAACAAAUUCUACAGCUGCUGUUGGAUGCAAAAGAUCUUUUUCUUUCUUGGAUGCUUUAGAUUCGGACAGAGAAAGAAUCAGAAUCCAUCCUUCUUUUUCCUAACUGGAAUUUGAGAGGCACAAGAAGGGAGCUAAACACGCAGACUUCAGUAUCUGGUGGAAAGAGAUAAGGUGUCUCAAGGAAGGUUAGCAUCAUCAAGAGAUACUACUCCUGAUGUUUUCAUUUUACUUUCCUCGGAUCUGCCUAAAUUCAGUGUCUCUCCUAGAAAACCAGUCAACUCAUGAAAAACUGUUUGUAAGAAAACGUUCUCGACACAAAGAAAAAUAAAGGUUUGAGAUGAUAAAUAUG